ACUUCUGAAGCCUGGAUUGGUGCAUUGUGGCCCUCACUACCUUGAUUUUCGGUGACAGAAGGUACCAGGUUUGAACGAGAGGAGUGAGCGGUGUUCCUUAUACAUCGAUGUAUAUGUGCAGGAGACCGGGAUUGUUGUUGGAUUUUCCCUGCAGAGAAGCGAGCUCAAGCAGCCUCCUGGCCAGUCCUCUCCUCCUCAAGCCAAGCUCCUGUCUCCUUGGAGACUAUCUCCUCAGAUCCUCUACACUGCUGCCCCUGGCUUGAACCCCCUUCUCCAAUUCUUGGUAAGAACCGACUAAGCACCUUCCAAGAAGCCUCUACUCGACUCUCCAAAUCGGCUAUGCAAAAACGAACCCCUGAGGACAUCAAAUAAAGCCCACAUGUACCAUCCACACC